GGGGGGGGGGGUGGGCGUACCUGGCUGCAGUGCAGUACCGCGAUCGCGAGACAGGGGGAAUAAGCGAGGAGGAUAAGCGGGGAUGGUAUUCGAGGGUGGCGGAAAACGAAUUCUGCACCGUUGUGUGCCGGGCAGAGAAGAGGAGAGGGCGAGCUAGCCGCAAUGCAGCACGCGCAGCGUCCUCGGUGUGCGCGCGCGCGCGUUCGGUAUCUCCUCGCCUGUUCUCCCUCAAGGGGUGAGUCACCUGAGUUGCUGACGUCGCGAUGCAUCCGCUUGAAUAGCAUUAUAGUCGCGGUUCUUUCAAUACGGUUCGUUCAAUACGAUCAUUAACGUCUUUGCCAAAAAGUCAAACAGAGUCAUGAAUAAAGGAAAAUGGUGAAGGCUAAUAAAUAUUAAUAUAUUAACAACCUAUUAUUUUGAAAAUAUAAUGCAAUAAAGUUGAAGAUGAAAAUUUACGAUCACGAAGAAAUACGAGACUGGUGAGAGCGCAGAAUAUAUUCGGCUGUAACUGCAAAGAGGACUGC
rnacentral:misc_RNA from 1 species